AAAACUUGAUGAAAGAAAUCUUUUCUUCAUCAUUCCAUAGCAAGGUUGUAGCCUGCAAUAUAAACAAUCAGAGGAAGAGGUACAAUAAGAAUGGCAGCAGGUUUCCAAAUCAAAGCAAGGUACAUCCUGGAUGCUGCAUUUUGUCAUACACUAAUUCUACUUCCUCGUCACGUUCUAGUAAACAUUCUUCCGUAUUUCAUAUGCCUUUACAGUACUUCAAGCCACAGUAGAAAGAAGUUACAUUCUGCGGAGACGGUGGAGCAGUAGCAGGAAAGGCCAAGAAGCUGCAGCAAAUGUCUAGACAAAAAUAAUACCAUUCUCCUGGAUGGUAUCAA
rnacentral:lncRNA from 1 species